GAUCCCGUAGCUCAGUUGGAUAGAGCGCUAGCCUCCGAAGCUAGAGGUCACAGGUUCAAAUCCUGUCGGGAUCGCCA
rnacentral:tRNA from 1 species